CUCCUCCCUCGCUCCCGGUGCCCCCCUGCUUCCACGCGCCACCGCCGGCCCCCUGCUUCCACGCGCCACCGCCGGCCCCCUGCUUCCACGCGCUGCCGCCGACCCCGCUGCUUCUAGCCGCCACUGUUGGGAGCCACCAUAGCGCCACCAAUCGCCACAACCAGCCGUCCCUACCUCUGCCUUGGCGACCUACCCCCACCCCCGCAACGGGCCGUCGCUUCGUGUCGCCGCAUCCGGUGGCCACAACGCGCCGUCCAACUCGUCAGUCCAACUGCUUGCUCCACGGUCGGUCGCUCAAGUAGCUGCGUGCAGGCAAACAUCUCCACGGGCGACAAGUCCUUCUUUCACAACUUGUUGCUGCUGCUGCACCUUCUCCUUCGACUAGGCUAAGUAAAUUGUUCAGUGUGGAGGCGCAAAUUGCUUCGCGACUGAGGAAGGCGCACCCCGGUGCUUGCCAUGGCUCCAACCCUGCCCCGACUGCUUCUCCCUGCGCGGUCGGGAACUAGCCCCCGUGCACUGCUUCAGCAUUGUCCCCGUCCAGGCCUAGGUCGAGUGCGGAGUGCUGCUCCAGUUCAUACUUCGGCGCUGCGGCAUGUGGUAGGGAUACAGAAGGAACACCUCGGCUUUGGUGGGCAAGCACACCACGAGGUAAUGGAAAGCUCCAAUGCACACCUACAAUGUAUUUUGUGCUGAACGUGUUGUUCUAAUCUGCUGUCAUCGCAAGCUGCUAUGAUGUGUUGUCACCAUUUAUAAUCUGUUAAUGACUGGUAUGUUCUUGUUAGUUCAUGUGUGUCCUUGUUGUUAGGUCGUGUUCAUCUUUUAUAAUCAGUUCGUGUACAUGUGUGUUCUUUUCAGUGCAUUAUACUUGGUUCCGUUCAAUUUCUAAUUCUAGUUCAGUCUAAUUUCUAAAUUUAGCUCAGUCCAAAACUUAUUCUAGAUUCAUUUCAGGUCAAUUCUUACUUUAGUCUAUAUAUCUUGUGCGUCCAUACAAUCUGUAUCAAGUUUUGCUUGUGUCAUACAUCAUUUUUAAAAUAGAAAACAUUUGCUAUUGCUAGAUAACAAAAAAAGAGUAUUGUUUACUUAUUAUUUCUUCUUCAGUCAGUUCAAUUACUUGAUGUACCUAUGUUGUCCAAUCUCUACUUUCAAUGUCCCUGCAACCGCGUACAAGCAGUUCCCUACCACCAGCCCUGUCCGUUCAAUGUCGCCGCCAUGGACGCGUCCCGCUCACAGGCCAUGGCUUAUGCUUUAGCGGCAAAAAAGUGGAGCCUGCUGGAGGAGUCGCGGGGUCGAGGACCUCCAGCUCAACAGUCCAACUGCUUCCUCUAUGGCCGGUCGCUCAAGGAGCUGAGUGCAAGCCGCUCCUUGCUGCAAGCUGCUGCUGCACCUAGGACUGCCCGGCACAGCCGCAUCCUUUUCUGCUGCUGCUGAUGCAUGCCCACUACUAUGCAGCUACCAAUUGCUGCUAUUGUUACCUCUGUUUUCUAUCUGAAUUUCUGUUCGAGUGCGGUGACGAGUGAAGGUACAGAGGUACUGAAUAUUGAUUCGAGCAUAACCCUUACUCACACCUUUAAUGUUGCUAGUGGUGGUGUUUAUGUUGUUACUUCGAUCGAGAAGGAAGUAGGAAUGAGAAGGAGAAGGAGCACACCAGCAACCUUGACGUGGAGGAGAACGAGGAGGCCAAGCGUGCCGCCCAAGGUGCCCCUCAACGAACAGCUCGAGCUCGACAAAGGAUGUCCACAAGGAAUGAUCUUCCAUGACGACCAACUUGUGUGAAUUCCUCCACUAAACUACAGUUCGGUUGUGCGUCUACUACUCAAAACUCCACAAUAGUUCAACGAAAAAUGUCUACAUCAGUUUCAACUAAAAAAGACCAUAAGUUCAGAGGAAGAACAAGAUCACAGGCGCGUUUUGGUCCACGCAGGCCACCAGAGGAAUAAAAAAUGUUUCUUCAUUCAGUUCAGGUUGCUCUAGGAUUUGUCCAUGUUCUGGAGGGAAGUAAUUAACUUGUGGUUUGCAGUGGGACCUACUGUAUAACAAAUAUGUGUUGAACAUUGUUGAUUGGAGGGAUGUGUACUGAUGUACCUUUCCUGCUGGAUCCUUCUUUUAUAGAAUAAAUAUUUGCUGUUUUUACAGGAAUAAUUAUUUGGUAUAUGUGAUGUGAUCUGCAAACUA